rnacentral:tRNA from 1 species
GGUAGCUCAGUGGUAGAGUGCUUGCCUUGCAUGCAUGAAGCCCUGGGUUCGAUUCCUCAGUACCA